AUUGACGGUUUGAGUUGGUGGACGAUUGUGGAUCGUAUUUUGAGCUGAAUUGAAGACGCAGCGGGAUUAUCGAGCGGGUAAUCCUACAGGACAGGAGAACCAGGACGGUGAUCGUGCGGUUAGAGCAAUUGUUAGAGUUUUACAACAAUUGUAAGUUGUGAGGUGUGUUAUGCUCAUUUGAGCUUUAUAAUAUAUUGUGAGAGUGAAUUGUAAUAAUGAACUCGAAGUUUCGAGAUUUGGUUUUUUGUAAUUGUAAUUAUUCAGGUUUCGGAUUUGAAUUUAUUAUUCAAAA